rnacentral:rRNA from 1 species
AACGAACGCUGGCGGCAGGCUUAACACAUGCAAGUCGAACGCACCUUUCGGGGUGAGUGGCAGACGGGUGAGUAACGCGUGGGAAUCUACCCUUCUCUACGGGAUAGCUCCGGGAAACUGGAAUUAAUACCGUAUACGUCCUGAGGGAGAAAGAUUUAUCGGGGAAGGAUGAGCCCGCGUUGGAUUAGCUAGUUGGUGGGGUAAAGGCCUACCAAGGCGACGAUCCAUAGCUGGUCUAAGAGGAUGAUCAGCCACAUUGGGACUGAGACACGGCCCAAACUCCUACGGGAGGCAGCAGUGGGGAAUAUUGGACAAUGGGCGCAAGCCUGAUCCAGCCAUGCCGCGUGAGUGAUGAAGGCCCUAGGGUUGUAAAGCUCUUUCAGUGGGGACGAUAAUGACGGUACCCACAGAAGAAGCCCCGGCUGACUUCGUG